UGAGAGAUGGAGUGACACAGUAGGAUAAGCUAACCGUACUGUUGGUUAUGUACGGCUAAGCAUUGAGGCAGCCUAAAUAGGCAAAUCCGUUUAGGCAAUGCUAGGAUGUGAUGGGGAAGCCCUUCGGGGCGAAGUAGCUGAUUUCACACUAUCAAGAAAAGCUUCUAUCGAGUUUAAAGGCGCCCGUACCGUAAACCGACACAGGUGGGUGAGGAGAGUAUCCUAAGGCCAGCGAGAGAACUAUUGUUAAGGAACUCGGCAAAAUGACCCCGUAACUUAGGGAGAAGGGGUGCCUGUCUAUGACAGGCCGCAGAGAAUAGGCCCAAGCGACUGUUUACCAAAACACAGGUUUCUGCUAAGUCGCAAGACGAUGUAUAGGAGCUGACGCCUGCCCGGUGCUGGAAGGUUAAGGGGGUCUGUUAGAUCAAUCGAAGCAGUGAACUUAAGCCCCAGUAAACGGCGGCCGUAACUAUAACGGUCCUAAGGUAGCGAAAUUCCUUGUCGGGUAAGUUCCGACCCGCACGAAAGGCGUAACGAUUUGGGCACUGUCUCAACAAUAGACUCGGUGAAAUUGUAAUCCCGGUGAAGAUGCCGGGUACCUGCGACAGGACGGAAAGACCCCAUGGAGCUUUACUGUAGCUUGACGUUGGGUCUUGGUACUACAUGUACAGGAUAGGUGGGAGACUAUGAAGCAUGGACGCCAGUCUGUGUGGAGUCAUCCUUGGGAUACCACCCUUGUAGUACUGGGAUCCUAACCAUAGGCCUUGAAUCAGGUCUUUGAACACCGUCAGGUGGGCAGUUUGACUGGGGCGGUCGCCUCCUAAAAAGUAACGGAGGCGCUCAAAGGUUUCCUCAGCACGGUCGGAAAUCGUGCGGAGAGUGUAAAGGCAAAAGGAAGCUUGAUUGCAAGACAUACAGGUCGAGCAAGGACGAAAGUCGGACUUAGUGAUCCGGUGGUACCGCAUGGAAGGGCCAUCGCUCAACGGAUACAAGCUACCCUGGGGAUAACAGGCUUAUCUCCCCCAAGAGUCCACAUCGACGGGGAGGUUUGGCACCUCGAUGUCGGCUCAUCACAUCCUAGGGCUGUAGUAGGUCCCAAGGGUUGGGCUGUUCGCCCAUUAAAGUGGUACGCGAGCUGGGUUCAGAACGUCGUGAGACAGUUCGGUCCCUAUCCGUCGCAGGCGUAGGAAAUUUGAGAAGACCUGUCCUUAGUACGAGAGGACCGGGAUGGACGUACCUCUGGUGUACCAGUUGUUCUGCCAAGGGCAUGGCUGGGUAGCUAUGUACGGAAUGGAUAAGCGCUGAAAGCAUCUAAGCGCGAAGCCAACUUCAAGAUAAGAUUUCCCACCGUAAGGGUAAGACCCCAGGAAGACUACCUGGUUGAUAGGUCGAAGGUGUAAGUGCAGUAAUGUAUUUAGCUUAUCGAUACUAAUAGGUCGAGGACUUGACC
rnacentral:rRNA from 1 species